CAUGCAUCUGGUUAAAUGACAAAUCUGUAAGAAGCUGAUGACGCCACAUCAAGUGGAUGCAGUCAGGUGUCUUCGACCAGGGGGAACAGAACAGACUUGGAGAGAAGAACUACAACCAGCGAAUCUGUGCUGAAAAGACCAAAUCAAAAGCAGGAAACAAGUGCAGAGAUUAGCCCCAGUGAGCAGCUGAAGACUUCACACCAAGGAGACAAAAUGUCUGGUGCAAGGUAAAG